GGGUAGACGCUACGGACUUGUCCCUCUAUCCCC
rnacentral:tRNA from 1 species